GAGGAUAAUAAACUCUUUUUCACAAUUUCAGUUAUAUAUUGAGUCAGCAUUACAACAUGAUGAGAUUCAUAGACGUCUUGCAACAAGCAACUGAAUUCAAGAUUAUGACAUUAUACUACAUCUAAUUAUCUGUAUUUUUUUUUUCUGUUAUUUUGUUGGAGUGGUGCGUACAUUUCUCUUAUCGUAUAGGUAGAAGAGGGAUUGGUAAAGAUAAGAGUAUUCAUCUGAGUUUUCACUGUGCGCCAUUGCAACAACCCAUCCUUCCGAUAUCAAAAUGCAAAAGGAAAAGACAUCGUUGUGUCUGAGUUCAAACCCAACUAGCAUAUUACUGAGAAAAACUAUUGAAUAAUUUUCGUGAUAAUAAACUAUUGAAUAGUUUGUAUUUUGUUACUUUUUUAGAUCCUUGACAGAAUGAGGGAGAAGAGAUACCCAACAGGCCAACAUAUUCUUAAAGGAUCGGUUGCAUUUUUGGGCUUUA
rnacentral:lncRNA from 1 species